rnacentral:rRNA from 1 species
UACGUAGGGUGCGAGCGUUAAUCGGAAUUACUGGGCGUAAAGCGUGCGCAGGCGGUUUUGUAAGCCAGAUGUGAAAUCCCCAGGCUUAACCUGGGAACUGCAUUCGAGACUGCAUUGCUAGAGUAUGGCAGAGGGGGAUGGAAUUCCGCGUGUAGCAGUGAAAUGCGUAGAUAUGCGGAGGAACACCGAUGGCGAAGGCAAUCCCCUGGGCCUGCACUGACGCUCAUGCACGAAAGCGUGGGGAGCAAACAGG